AGGCGGCGUGCUAAUAAUGCAAGUCGCACGGGCUCCUUCGGGGGUCAGUGGCGGACGGGUGAGUAACACGUGGGUAACCUGCCUCUUAGUCGGGGAUAACGCCUGGAAACGGGUGCUAAUCCCGGAUGGGUUCCCGGGUCGCAUGGCCUGGGAAGGAAAGCUGCCGCAAUGCAGCGCUGAGAGAGGGGCCCGCGGCGCAUUAGCCAGUUGGUGGGGUAACGGCCUACCAAAGCGACGAUGCGUAGCCGACCUGAGAAGGGUGACCGGCCACACUGGGACUGAGACACGGCCCAGACUCCUACGGGAGGCAGCAGUAGGGAAUCUUCCGCAAUGGGCGCAAGCCUGACGGAGCAACGCCGCGUGAGUGAAGACGGUCUUCGGAUUGUAAAGCUCUGUUGCUCGAGACGAGCGGAUGGGAGAGGGAAUGCUCCCAUCGAGACGGUAUCGGGUCAGAAAGCCCCGGCUAACUACGUGCCAGCAGCCGCGGUAAU
rnacentral:rRNA from 1 species